rnacentral:tRNA from 1 species
GCCCUCGUGCCGAAAUCGGUAGACGGGCCACAAUAGGACUGUGGUGAGCCUGCGGGCUCGUCCGGGUUCGAUCCCCGGCGGGGGCACCU